rnacentral:rRNA from 1 species
GACGAACGCUGGCGGCGUGCUUAACACAUGCAAGUCGAACGGAAAGGCCCUGCUUUUGUGGGGUGCUCGAGUGGCGAACGGGUGAGUAACACGUGAGUAACCUGCCCUUGACUUUGGGAUAACUUCAGGAAACUGGGGCUAAUACCGGAUAGGAGCUCCUGCUGCAUGGUGGGGGUUGGAAAGUUUCGGCGGUUGGGGAUGGACUCGCGGCUUAUCAGCUUGUUGGUGGGGUAGUGGCUUACCAAGGCUUUGACGGGUAGCCGGCCUGAGAGGGUGACCGGCCACAUUGGGACUGAGAUACGGCCCAGACUCCUACGGGAGGCAGCAGUGGGGAAUAUUGCACAGUGGGCGGAAGCCUGAUGCAGCAACGCCGCGUGCGGGAUGACGGCCUUUGGGUUGUAAACCGCUUUCGCCUGUGACGAAGCGUGAGUGACGGUAAUGGGUAAGGAAGCACCGGCUAACUACGUG